rnacentral:rRNA from 1 species
CGAACGCUGGCGGCAUGCCUAACACAUGCAAGUCGAACGAAGCCUUCGGGCUUAGUGGCGCACGGGUGAGUAACACGUGGGAACCUGCCUUUCGGUUCGGAAUAACGUUUGGAAACGAACGCUAACACCGGAUACGCCCUUGGGGGGAAAGUUUACGCCGAGAGAGGAGCCCGCGUCCGAUUAGGUAGUUGGUGAGGUAACGGCUCACCAAGCCGACGAUCCGUACCUGGUCUGAGAGGAUGAUCAGCCACACUGGGACUGAGACACGGCCCAGACUCCUACGGGAGGCAGCAGUGGGGGAAUAUUGGACAAUGGGCGCAAGCCUGAUCCAGCAAUGCCGCGUGAGUGAUGAAGGCCUUAGGGUUGUAAAGCUCUUUCGCACGUGACGAUGAUGACGGUAACGUGAGAAGAAGCCCCGGCUAACUUCGUGCCAGCAGCCGCGGUAAU